rnacentral:rRNA from 1 species
AUACGUAGGGGGCGAGCGUUGUCCGGAAUGAUUGGGCGUAAAGGGCGCGUAGGCGGCCCGGUAAGUCUGGAGUGAAAGUCCUGUUUUUAAGAUGGGAAUUGCUUUGGAUACUGUCGGGCUUGAGUGCAGGAGAGGUAAGUGGAAUUCCCAGUGUAGCGGUGAAAUGCGUAGAGAUUGGGAGGAACACCAGUGGCGAAGGCGACUUACUGGACUGUAACUGACGCUGAGGCGCGAAAGUGUGGGGAGCAAACAGGAUUAGAUACCCUGGUAGUCCACACUGUAAACGAUGAAUGCUAGGUGUAGGGGGUAUCGACCCCUCCUGUGCCGCAGUCAACACAAUAAGCAUUCCGCCUGGGGAGUACGGCCGCAAGGUUGAAACUCAAAUGAAUUGACGGGG